AACGUGGAGACAGGUGGUGCAUGGCUGUCGUCAGCUCGUGUCGUGAGAUGUUGGGUUAAGUCCCGCAACGAGCGCAACCCUCACCUCUUGUUGCCAUCAGGUCAUGCUGGGCACUCUAGAGGAACUGCCCCGGUCAACGGGGAGGAAGGCGGGGAUGACGUCAAGUCAUCAUGCCCCUUACGUCCUGGGCUACACACGUGCUACAAUGGCCGGUACAAAGGGAUGCCACACCGCGAGGUAGAGCUAAACCCAAAAAGCCGGUCUAAGUUCGGAUUGGAGUCUGCAACUCGACUCCAUGAAGGAGGAAUCGCUAGUAAUCGCGUAUCAGCACGACGCGGUGAAUACGUUCCCGGGCCUUGUACACACCGCCCGUCACACCACGAAAGCCUGCUGUACUCGAAGUCGCUGAG
rnacentral:rRNA from 1 species